rnacentral:rRNA from 1 species
UACGAAGGGGGCUAGCGUUGCUCGGAAUCACUGGGCGUAAAGGGCGCGUAGGCGGCCAGAUCAGUCAGGCGUGAAAGCCCUGGGCUCAACCUGGGGACUGCGCUUGAGACGGUUUGGCUUGAGGGUGGAAGAGGAUCGCGGAAUUCCCGGUGUAGAGGUGAAAUUCGUAGAUAUCGGGAGGAACACCGGUGGCGAAGGCGGCGAUCUGGGUCGAUACUGACGCUGAGGUGCGAAAGCGUGGGGGAGCGAAACAGG